rnacentral:rRNA from 1 species
CCUACGGGUGGCAGCAGUGAGGAAUAUUGGUCAAUGGCCGCAAGGCUGAACCAGCCAAGUCGCGUGAGGGAUGACGGUCCUAUGGAUUGUAAACCUCUUUUGUCAGGGAGCAAAGGGCGCCACGUGUGGCGUUUUGCGAGUACCUGAAGAAAAAGCAUCGGCUAACUCCGUGCCAGCAGCCGCGGUAAUACGGAGGAUGCGAGCGUUAUCCGGAUUUAUUGGGUUUAAAGGGUGCGCAGGCGGAAUGUCAAGUCAGCGGUAAAAUUUCGGGGCUCAACCCCGGCGUGCCGUUAAAACUGGCGGUCUUGAGUGAGCGAGAAGUAUGCGGAAUGCGUGGUGUAGCGGUGAAAUGCAUAGAUAUCACGCAGAACUCCGAUUGCGAAGGCAGCAUGCCGGCGCUCAACUGACGCUCAGGCACGAAAGCGUGGGUAUCGAACAGGAUUAGAUACCCCGGUAGUC